CUUGUUUAUCAAAAACAUGUCCUUUUGUUAAUAAUUUAAGGUCUCGCCUGCCCACUGAUAAUUUUAAAGGCCGCAGUAUUUUGACUGUGCAAAGGUAGCAUAAUCAUUAGUUUUUUAAUUGAAAGCUGGUAUGAAAGGUUGGAUGAGAAAAAAACUGUCUCUAUUUAAAUUAAUAAAAAUUUUAUUUUUAAGUUAAAAAGCUUAAAUUUUUUUAAAAGACGAGAAGACCCUAUAGAGUUUAAUAAAAAUUUAAUUUUAUUAUUAUUUUAGAAUUUUAAAAUAAGAAAUUUAAAUAUUUUAUUUAGUUGGGGUGAUUGAAAAAUUGAAAAAACUUUUUUUUUAUAAUUACAUUAAUUUAUGAAAAUUUGAUCCGUUAUUAAUGAUUAUAAGAUAAAAUUACCUUAGGGAUAACAGCGUAAUUAUUUUUUAGAGUUCAAAUCGAAAAAAAUGGAUUGCGACCUCGAUGUUGGAUUAAAAUUAAUUUUUGGUGUAGAAGCUAAGAGUUUGGGUCUGUUCGACCUUUAAAAUUUUCAUGAUCUGAGUUCAAACCGG
rnacentral:rRNA from 1 species